UUUCCGUAGGUGAACCUGCGGAAGGAUCAUUAACAAAUCUGUGCAUGUUGCGUGCGCUUGUUUGCACGUGACACCAUUGGUUCCGUGUGCAUGCGUGCACAUUGCGACACAUUUCUGCGAGUCGUCUGAUUUGGGUGUUUAAACGCGAUCAACUUUUAACAAUGGAUCUCUAGGCUCUU
rnacentral:misc_RNA from 1 species